rnacentral:lncRNA from 1 species
UUUGUUGUCAGGAAUCCUCUAAAUGGAUCCGGCAGCAUCAUUGUCACUAGUUUUAGAGGAUUCCUGAAUACAAACAGCAUUAGUGUCAUCCUCAUCAUCAUCAAUCUCCUGUACAAUCACAAAAGAUAGAUUGCGAAUUCUUGGAUUUGAAACUGCAUAUUUCAAAUUUAAUUUCAUAACUAUUUCAUGAGUUAAUGAACUUCCCACUCUUCAGGAGAUGAUCUCUUGUUGAAGUUCCAGUUGAUAGGGAACUCAACAAGAAGAUCCAAAUAUGCAGAACUACAAAGGUGAAAAACUUAAUAAUUUUGAAAAAAAUCAUUCAUGUUGCACAUAUCCUCUGUUUAUUACAAAUUGCUUGAAUGCAUUACCUUGAUGAAUGAUUUGCAACAUUCAGGGUGAGUAAAACUUUCACUACUAGAUCCACAACAUAUCCGUUCCAACCUGAGAAAGUUCUAUCCCUUGCAGUAAUACGCUUGUUUUUAGACCAUUUUACAUUGUAUAAAAUAACUAAUGAACUAAGGUUUAAAACUCAAGCCACGAAGCAAUACCGAAGUCAAAAUAAAUAAAAUAGUACCUUGCAUUAUACGUACCACAGUUGGUGUCUCUUGCUAUAAUGCUUGUUUCAUAAAGCUUGAAUAUAUGAGAGAUGACUCCUUAC